rnacentral:tRNA from 1 species
GCCUGGCUGGCUCAGUCAGUAGAGCAUGUGACUCUUGAUCUCCAGGUCAUGAGUUCAAGCCCCACGUGGGGUA